rnacentral:rRNA from 1 species
GAUUGCAGGCUGCAACUCGCCUGCAUGAAGUCGGAAUUGCUAGUAAUCGCGGAUCAGCAUGCCGCGGUGGAUACGUUCCCGGGCCUUGUACACACCGCCCGUCACACCAUGAGAGCCGGUAACACCCGAAGUCAGUAGUCUAACCGCAAGGGGGACGCUGCCGAAGGUGGGGCUGGUGAUUGGGGUGAAGUCGUAACAAGGUACC